GGGCCACGAAGUUUCAAUCGCACUGUACGUGUGCACCCACACAUGGUAUUUUGUGCAAGAGCCACAGUCAAGGGGACAAAGAGCCGCAUGUGGCUCUCGAGCCGCGGUUUGCCGACCACUGGUGUAGCCUGUCCUGAAAGCCGCUUGCUUUUCAACGUCUCAGGGUUUCCCUGGUGAACCCGCAGUUCUGGGCUCUGGUGGGUGGGCCUGGAGGCAAGUCUGGGUCAUGGGCUCUGUGACUUCCCUCCUGGGAGGAUGUGUGGGGCCAUGUGCUAGGACCAUUGUGGGGCAGUGUGAAGGUAGCCGCUGGGCUGAGUGUCCUGCCCUCAGAGCCCAGUGAUGCCUGGGCAGACCUGGAGCUCAGAGUCAUGCCACGGGGGAGAAACACAGUAUGAUGAGGGUCCCUUCUAAAGCCCACGCUGGCGUUGCGUGUCCUGGUGGAGGUCAGCCCAGCAGCAGGUACAUCUGGGGUGAACGGCAGGUUCUGGGUACCCAGAGAGCUGGCGUGUCUUCCGGGAGUCUGGAAGGGUACUUGACUCGGAUGUCAGGGUUCUGUUGUGCAUAUGAACACCUGGCCCCUGGGCACCUCUCUCUAGAGUGCUCUCGGCCCGAACUUUCUAAAUCAGUGUGUUUGAUCCAGUAUGUAAGGGUGGCCUCUGUGGGGAUUUUGAGAAAACACUUUUGUAUUCGAAAUAGAACAAGGAGCCCUGGCCAGUGUGGUUCAAUGAUUAGAGCGUCAGCCCAUGCAUGGAAGGGUCUCAGGAUCAAUUAAUUCCCAGUCAAGGGCAUGUACCUGGGUUGCAGGUUCAAUUCCCAGGCUUGCCUGAGGUGUGUGUGGGAGGCACCCAGUCAAUGUCGCUCACAUCAAUGUUUCUCUGUCUCUUUUUCUCCUCUCUUCCCUCCGAUCCACUCUCUCUAAAAAUCAAUGGAAAAAAUAUCCUCGGGUGAGGAUUAAGAAAAAAAAAAAUGGAACAAGGAUUCAAGUGUAAAAUUCACAUGGAUUUUUAAGACUGGUUCCCCCUGAGCCCAGGGUCCUAUCUGACUGAGGCAGGCGCUGAGGCCUCAGCCCUCACCCAGGGGGCUCUGAAGGUGGAGAUGAGCCCCGCCCCCUCUGAUCUUUCCUACUUGACCUGACAGCUGUCUCUGAGGCAGCAGUGAGCUGAUGAAUAACUCCUGAGCCUGGUGAGUGCAAACGUCAUGGUUCAGCUCUUUUCAUCCAAUGGUUGAGGCAAACCCUCGAUUCCAUGUCACAGAAGUUCCGGCCAUUGUUCCAGGCCACGGCCCCUUUAAAGAAAAUGGUGAUUAUUUUCACCAGUAGGGAGGCAGCUAAAGCUGAUCUGUGGGGUCCUUUGGCUUUACCUAAAGAAGAAUGGGGGUCCAGAGGGUUAGGAGGAAGGGGCAGGCCCGUGGGAGUGUGUGACCAGUGCUUCCUUAGAUAUAGGGGUGGGAUCCAAUGAGGAAUCUGGGAAGUCUGUGCAGUUGGGGCAAUGCCCUGGGGUCAAGAUGUCGGACCAGGGGUGGCAGGAGCCUGGGCUGAGUCCCCAGGCCAGGGGAGCAAAGAGAACAGAAGUGGCUCUGGGCUUAGUGUGGCAUAAGGCUGUGUUUGGGAAAUAAGAAACUUACACCCAUGACCUAAACAGAAUAAAACAGCAGUAUUAAUGAGGCUUCGCAGUAAGAACGCCAAGCAGGGCUGCGACUUUGCAUUGAGAAAUACCAGACUGAGCAGAAUGGGCAUUCGGGAAGCUCGAGGAGGGAGAGAAAGGGGCCAAGAGAGCUGGAGGAGGCUGAGGAGGGAGUGGGCACACCUCUAAUGAGGGUGAGAGGACUCAACUCCCUCAGCAGCCACAUCCACAUUUCACUCCCAAGAGGGUAAAACACCAACCUGGCAAAGAUGCACUCAUCUCAAUGUCUCAGCACAACCCCUUGCCCCUGGGAAAGCAGUCCCGUCACUCCAGCAGCCACAGAGCUGAAGCCCAAGGACACACUGCCAGGCGCAAGCACUUGCUUUCUUUUUCAGUUCUGCCUGGACUCCUGGCUCAGCACAUGCAAGUCGGGGCUGCAACUCUGCUCGACAUUGCUGUUUCCAAACGCCAGCCUAUGACAUUUCAUUUCCCAUAAGAUUACACCCAAUAAUUUCUGAUUUACAUUCCGAUGGAUUAUUUUUCCUUUUUUUUUUUUUUAAUUAAUGAAGCAAACUCAACGCAGAGCAGGGAUUUGAAAAGCACAGCUAGGAGCUUUUUGUUUGCCACGAAGAAUGCCCUGAUUAUCCCACAAUAAAACAAGCCACUGCAGAAUGAGAAUGUAUCCAGCCAGGAAACUGGACGUGAGGAAAAGCAUCUGGACACAUACAGCCUGGCCUGGAACAGCUGCUCCCACGGGGACUCACCCCUCUUGGAAGAACCGCCCUCCCCGUCCCCCGACAGCACGUAAAAGAUUCAACGCAGCAGCCUUCAUGAGCCAGAAGGAAAAACCAGUCAUUUUGAAAUCAACAUCCAAGGGAGGAUAGAAAGAACUUUGGAGUUUGGAAAUGGCAACAACAGAUGAUCACACACACACACCCCUGCUUCUCCGUCACAUGCUUUAUGUGAAAUGGCAGCCUCCGCCAGCACCUCACGGCAGCUUUGAUGAUUUAAGGCAAAUGCAGUGCUCUGGAGAUCACACUGCUCUUAUCCACCUCAACAACAAAGGUUAACCGAACACCUACUGUACGCCGCACAUUUCUCCUGGGCACUGGAGAGACAGCAAAGAGCAAAACUGAGCCCAUGCGCUCAAGAAGCCCACAUUUCAGUGGAGUAGAAAGACCACCCCAAAAAUAGAAACCAGAUAAAAGUUACAGUGUGUCAUAUGGUGAUAAUCACUGUGAGAAAAAUACAGCAGGGAAGGGAGGGGGGAGAAUUUGGAUGGGGUUGGUGUAAAUGUACGUAAACAGAGAAGCACUCACUGGGAAGGUGACAUCUGAGGAUGUGGGGAAAGCCCUAAAGACACCUGGGGAGAGCUUCCUCCACAGAGGACUAGCCAGUGCCAAGGUCCCAAGGCUGGAGCAGCUCUAGACUCACAGCAGGCCUAUACCUCCAGACAAACCCCUGGGUGCCAGGCAGGGACCUCCGCACCCCUGAAACACCCCUUCUGGGCACCUCUACCCACAGGAGUGGGAGCCUGAGAAACAGGGCUGCCCGUGAGGACCCAGGCACUUCCUGUCUGAUGACAGCCUAACCAAGGCUGUACUGUCCAGCAUCAGUCCAAGGCUGAGAUGCUAGUCACUAGACAACCACCGCUGCCAAAGCACCCAGCAGUGUCCCCUGCACUCCACACUAUGGGCACGAUGACACAGGAACAAGUCACGGGCAGCCUUCCUCCUUCGUGGGAUUCCUUCCUGCCUCGGCCACAUGAGCCAGCCAAGCACCUCAGCGCAAGACCAGUCUCAGGGACUCUCCCAGAUGGAGAUGUUUACAGGGUAGACUCAGUGCUUCGUGCUAUCUCUUCCCACAGGCAUAACUCACUAGCAUGGGUAUGUUUAAUAAAUAGUUUUACUUCUGCAAUUAAAGAAACGGGUGGGCCGAAACCGGUUUGGCUCAGUGGAUAGAGCGUCGGCCUGCGGACUGAAGGGUCCCGGGUUCGAUUCCGGUCAAGGGCAUGUACCUACCUGGGUU